UACGUAGGCAGCAAGCGUUGUUCGGAGUUACUGGGCGUAAAGGGCGCGUAGGCGGCUUGCCGAGUCAGGGGUGAAAUCUUUCGGCUCAACCGGAAAACAGCUUCUGAUACUGGCGGGCUGGAGGGAGGUAGGGGCAGACGGAACUUCCGGUGGAGCGGUGAAAUGCGUAGAUAUCGGAAGGAACGCCGGUGGCGAAAGCGGUCUGCUGGACCUCUUCUGACGCUGAGGCGCGAAAGCCAGGGGAGCAAACGG
rnacentral:rRNA from 1 species